rnacentral:rRNA from 1 species
GAUGAACGCUGGCGGCAUGCCUUACACAUGCAAGUCGAACGGCAGCACGGGAGCAAUCCUGGUGGCGAGUGGCGAACGGGUGAGUAAAGUAUCGGAACGUGCCCAGUCGUGGGGGAUAACGUAGCGAAAGUUACGCUAAUACCGCAUACGAUCUAUGGGUGAAAGCGGGGGAUCGCAAGACCUCGCGCGAUUGGAGCGGCCGAUAUCAGAUUAGGUAGGUGGUGGGGUAAAGGCUCACCAAGCCGACGAUCUGUAGCUGGUCUGCGAGGACGACCAGCCACACUGGGACUGAGACACGGCCCAGACUCCUACGGGAGGCAGCAGUGGGGAAUUUUGGACAAUGGGCGAAAGCCUGAUCCAGCCAUGCCGCGUGCAGGAUGAAGGCCUUCGGGUUGUAAACUGCUUUUGUACGGAACGAAAAGGUUUGGCCUAAUAAGCUGAGCUCAUGACGGUACCGUAAGAAUAAGCACCGGCUAACUACGUGCCAGCCGCCGCAGUAA